GGUGGGUAGUUUAGUGGUAAAACACCGGCAUCGCACGCUGGAGACCCAGGUUCGAAUCCUGGUCCAACCG